GCUGUAAAUUCCAUGGGUGCUGCGGUGCUGAUCAGUGGCUCUUGGUGGUUUGGGUGGGAAUGAUGCUCUGCAGUUGACCAGCGAGCUCAGCCAGAAACUGGAUAAAUGAACUUGAAAUAACCUUUGAAGUGAUCACCCUGGAAGGAACAGAGCGUUCCCUGUGAAAAGGCACUGAAGUCAGUUCAUGAGCUGCACACUUUUGGCUUCCCACUUCCCACAGGAGCACAUCAGAAGACAAGGUCUCCCUCCAUCUCUGGCAGCAGCAGAGCUGGCUUGAGAGGCCAAAACUGCACCUGAGCAGGCAGGAAAGCCACCUCAUCUUCAAACAACCUGCUAGAAACUGCAGCUGCCCAGAGAAUUAACUCUGCCCAGGGCUGAUGCACCAGAAGCUGCAAGGGGAGCAAGGCACCAGGGUGUUCCCCUGUGUUAUUUCAAUGUAUUCCCACCAGCCUGGUUUAUAUUGAGCAGCACUGAUGCUCAUCUCAAGAUGCACAUGGCAAGAUCUGUUACCAUGUGGACAUUGCAGGAAAACCAAAGUUUCAGAAUUGAAAGGGAGGUCAUCAGAGAACUGCCAAUAACACAGAACAGCCAAGAAGACAAAGAAAUUCUCUGCUGUGGUUAAAGGAGCAAUUUUAAUUCCUUUUCUCUCUGUAGAACAGGAUAAGUACAAAAAGCUUUGCUUGUGAACACUUUUAAACCAAAAUUUUUAAAGUAUCACAGAAAGAUAAAGUAAUCAAUACAUCCCUCAGGAAAUUAUCCCAUCUGGUUCCAGCACACAUGAAAUUAAUUCAGACCUGUAACACCUCCCAUACACCAGUUUAACAUUAUUCCAGAAAGGAGUUUAAUGAUCCACAAUAAUCAACCAUUAAACAUUCUGCACUGGAGCUUCCCAAGCCACAAGAAUUUAUUCUUUUGAAUUGGUCUGCCUAACAUCA